AACCCAUGUCGAGAACAUUUCCGCAGGAGCUCCUUGAACCUAUCCCAUGACUCAAAUAGAGACUCUAUUUCCAUUUACACAAAAGAUGAUAUUUCAUUAGUAUGUUU